AGUGAACGCUGGCGGUAGGCCUAACACAUGCAAGUCGAACGGCAGCACAGUAAGAGCUUGCUCUUACGGGUGGCGAGUGGCGGACGGGUGAGGAAUACAUCGGAAUCUACUUUUUCGUGGGGGAUAACGUAGGGAAACUUACGCUAAUACCUCAUACGACCUACGGGUGAAAGCAGGGGAUCUUCGGACCUUGCUCGAUUGAAUGAGCCGAUGUCGGCUUAGCUAGUUGGCGGGUUAAAGGCCCACCAAGGCGACGAUCCGUAGCUGGUCUGAGAGGAUGGUCAGCCACACUGGAACUGAGACACGGUCCAGACUCCUACGGGAGGCAGCAGUGGGGAAUAUUGGACAAUGGGCGAAAGCCUGAUCCAGCCAUACCGCGUGGGUGAAGAAGGCCUUCGGGUUGUAAAGCCCUUUUGUUGGGAAAGAAAAGCAGCAGGUUAAUACCCCGCUGUUCUGACGGUACCCAAAGAAUAAGCACCGGCUAACUUCAU
rnacentral:rRNA from 1 species